GCAUUACAGGUGUGUAGGGUCUAGCCCUACUAGGGUCAUGGGGUGUCCCUAUUGCUGUACUGAGGCUCUGGAUCUGAGAAAUAAGGAGACAGGACACAGAAGGACAAAGCACAAUGCCACUUACAAGCAGAGACAGGCGAGGCCCUGAACGUCCAGGAACGUCUGUAUUUACUGGGUAUAGGUUAGGGGGCAGGGUAGUGAGUGAGGUCAUUUUAAUGAUCGUGAUAAAGUCAAGACAAUCACGUAAGCAAUAAACAAGGGGUCUACCCCCAUUAGGUCACCAAGGAGGUGGGCGGUAUGCAACAGGGAUGGGGGAGGGUGCAUCGGCUC